ACUCUCUUAGUAUAACRCAUAGUACARCUGACUUCCAAUCAGACAGCCCCAGAGU
rnacentral:tRNA from 1 species